CAGUCGCCACGGGAAUACAGAGGGUGCGAGCGUUAAUCGGAUUUACUGGGCGUAAAGCGUGCGUAGGCGGCUUCUUAAGUCGGAUGUGAAAUCCCUGAGCUUAACUUAGGAAUUGCAUUCGAUACUGGGAAGCUAGAGUAUGGGAGAGGAUGGUAGAAUUCCAGGUGUAGCGGUGAAAUGCGUAGAGAUCUGGAGGAAUACCGAUGGCGAAGGCAUCCAUCUGGCCUAAUACUGACGCUGAGGUACGAAAGCAUGGGGAGCAAACAGGAUUAGAUACCCCCGUAGUCCCUGUCUCUUAUAC
rnacentral:rRNA from 1 species